CAAGUUGAGCGAACCAAUAAGAAGCUUGCUUUUUGUUGGUUAGCGGCGGACGGGUGAGUAACACGUGGGUAACGUGCCUGUAAGAUCGGGAUAACUCCGGGAAACCGGUGCUAAUACCGGAUAGAUUAUCUUUCCGCUUGGAGAGAUAAGGAAAGAUGGCUAUUGCCAUCACUUACAGAUGGGCCCGCGGCGCAUUAGCUAGUUGGUGAGGUAACGGCUCACCAAGGCGACGAUGCGUAGCCGACCUGAGAGGGUGAUCGGCCACACUGGGACUGAGACACGGCCCAGACUCCUACGGGAGGCAGCAGUAGGGAAUCUUCCGCAAUGGACGAAAGUCUGACGGAGCAACGCCGCGUGAGCGAAGAAGGUCUUCGGAUCGUAAAGCUCUGUUGUUAGGGAAGAGCAAGUAUCGGAGGAAAUGCCGGUACCUUGACGGUACCUGACGAGAAAGCCACGGCCCAACUACGUGCCGGCACCCGCGGUUAAUACGUAGGUGGCAAGCGUUGUCCCGGAUUUAUUU
rnacentral:rRNA from 1 species